rnacentral:rRNA from 1 species
GAAACGACUGCUAAGACUGGAUAGGAAGAUAAAAGGCAUCUUUUAUCUUUUAAAAGACCUAGUAAUAGGUAUGCUUUAGGAGGGGCUUGCGCCAUAUUAGUUAGUUGGUAGGGUAAUGGCCUACCAAGACGAUGAUGUGUAGCUGGACUGAGAGGUUGAACAGCCACAUUGGGACUGAGACACGGCCCAAACUCCUACGGGAGGCAGCAGUAGGGAAUUUUCGGCAAUGGAGGAAACUCUGACCGAGCAACGCCGCGUGAAUGACGAAGUACUUCGGUAUGUAAAGUUCUUUUAUCAAGGAAGAAAAGCAAAUGGCGAACCAUUUGUUUGCCGGUACUUGAUGAAUAAGCCCCGGCUAAUUAUGUGCCAGCAGCCGCGGUAAGACAUAAGGGGCAAGUGUUAUCCGGAAUUAUUGGGCGUAAAGGGUGCGUAGGCGGUCUAGUAAGUCAGUGGUGUAAUGGCAACGCUUAACGUUGUCCGGCUAUUGAAACUGCUAAACUUGAGUUAGAUAGAGGCGAGUGGAAUUCCAUGUGUAGCGGUAAAAUGCGUAAAUAUAUGGAGGAACACCAGAGGCGUAGGCGGCUCGCUGGGUCUUAACUGACGCUGAGGCACGAAAGCGUGGGGAGCAAACAGGAUUAGAUACCCUGGUAGUCCACGCCGUAAACGAUGAGUACUAAGUGUCGGGUUAAACCGGUACUGAAGUUAACACAUUAAGUACUCCGCCUGAGUAGUACGUACGCAAGUAUGAAACUUAAAGGAAUUGACGGGACUCCGCACAAGCGGUGGAUCAUGUUGUUUAAUUCGAAGAUACCCGAAAAACCUUACCAGGUCUUGACAUGUUUUUGCAAAAUGAUAGUAAUAUCGUGGAGGUUACCAGAAACACAGGUGGUGCAUGGUUGUCGUCAGCUCGUGUCGUGAGAUGUUAGGUUAAGUCCUAAAACGAGCGAAACCCUUAUCGUUAGUUGCCAGCACGUUAUGGUGGGGACUUUAACGAGACUGCCAAUGAUAAAUUGGAGGAAGGUGAGGAUCACGUCAAAUCAGCAUGCCCCUUAUGACCUGGGCUACAAACGUGAUACAAUGGCUGAUACAAAGGGUAGCUGAAACGCAAGUUCUUGGCCAAUCCCCAAAAACAGUCCCAGUCCGGAUUGAAGUCUGCAACUCGACUUCAUGAAGUUGGAAUCGCUAGUAAUCGCGAAUCAGCAUGUCGCGGUGAAUACGUUUUCGGGGUUUGUACACACCGCCCGUCA